GAUGAAGAACGUAGCGAAAUGCGAUAAGUAAUGUGAAUUGCAGAAUUCAGUGAAUCAUCGAAUCUUUGAACGCACAUUGCGCCCCUUGGUAUUCCGAGGGGCAUGCCUGUUCGAGCGUCAUUAUAACCCUCAAGCUCAGCUUGGUGUUGGGGCCUGCUGCACUGGCAGCCCUUAAAAUCAGUGGCGGCGCCAUCUGGCUCUAAGCGUAGUAAUUCUUCUCGCUAUGGAGUCCUGGUGGAUGCUUGCCAUCAACCCCCAAUUUUUCUAUGGUUGACCUCGGAUCAGGUAGGGAUACCCGCUGAACUUAAGCAUAUCAAUAAGCGGGA
rnacentral:misc_RNA from 1 species